UGAGCUUGAUAGAGUUUGAUCAUGGCUCAGAUUGAACGCUGGCGGCAGGCCUAACACAUGCAAGUCGAGCGGAAACGAUGGAAGCUUGCUUCCAGGCGUCGAGCGGCGGACGGGUGAGUAAUGCAUGGGAAUCUGCCCGAUAGUGGGGGAUAACCUGGGGAAACCCAGGCUAAUACCGCAUACGUCCUACGGGAGAAAGCAGGGGAUCUUCGGACCUUGCGCUAUCGGAUGAGCCCAUGUCGGAUUAGCUUGUUGGUGAGGUAAUGGCUCACCAAGGCGACGAUCCGUAGCUGGUCUGAGAGGAUGAUCAGCCACAUCGGGACUGAGACACGGCCCGAACUCCUACGGGAGGCAGCAGUGGGGAAUAUUGGACAAUGGGCGAAAGCCUGAUCCAGCCAUGCCGCGUGUGUGAGAGGAAG
rnacentral:rRNA from 1 species